rnacentral:rRNA from 1 species
GGAUAAUUUACAAACCUUACCGAAAGCAAUUGGAGGGCAAGUCUGGUGCCAGCAGCCGCGGUAAUUCCAGCUCCAAAAGCGUAUAUUAAAAGUUGUUGCAGUUAAAAAGCUCGUAGUUGAAGUUCUGGCUGUAUUGGGCCUCUGCACUUGAUGCGAAGGAACCAGCAGUCAUCCGCUUGCAAAUACAUGUUCUUCCUUAACCGGUAGACUGUAUAAGUAAGCAAUUUACCUUGAGAAAAACAGAGUGUUCCAGGCAGGUUUGUCCGGAAUGCAUUAGCAUGGAAUAAUAGAAUAUGACUAGAGUCGAUUUGUUGGUUAAAGGCUUUAGUAAUGAUUAAUAGGAACAAUCGGGGGCAUUGGUACUCGUCAGUCAGAGGUGAAAUUCUAAGAUUUGACGAAGACUAACUGAUGCGAAAGCGUUUGCCAAGAAUGUUUUCAUUAAUCAAGAACGAAAAGUUAGGGGAUCAAAGACGAUUAGAUACCGUCCUAGUCUUAACUAUAAACUAUACCGACUCGGAUUCAGAUGAAUAUUAAAGUU